rnacentral:rRNA from 1 species
GAUGAACGCUGGCGGCGUGCUUAACACAUGCAAGUCGAACGGUGAAGCAGGAGCUUGCUCUUGUGGAUCAGUGGCGAACGGGUGUGUAACACGUGAGCAACCUGCCCCUGACUCUGGGAUAAGCGCUGGAAACGGCGUCUAAUACUGGAUAUGUGAUGUGACCGCAUGGUCUGCAUCUGGAAAGAAUUUCGGUUGGGGAUGGGCUCGCGGCCUAUCAGCUUGUUGGUGAGGUAAUGGCUCACCAAGGCGUCGACGGGUAGCCGGCCUGAGAGGGUGACCGGCCACACAGGGACUGAGACACGGCCCAGACUCCUACGGGGGGCAGCAGUGGGGAAUAGUGCACAAUGGGCGGAAGCCUGAUGCAGCAACGCCGCGUGAGGGAUGACGGCCUUCGGGUUGUAAACCUCUUUUAGCAGGGAAGAAGCGAAAGUGACGGUACCUGCAGAAAAAGCACCGGCUAACUACGUGCCAGCCGCCGCGGUAA